rnacentral:rRNA from 1 species
GAUGAACGCUGGCGGCGUGCCUAAUACAUGCAAGUCGAGCGAAUGGAUUAAGAGCUUGCUCUUAUGAAGUUAGCGGCGGACGGGUGAGUAACACGUGGGUAACCUGCCCAUAAGACUGGGAUAACUCCGGGAAACCGGGGCUAAUACCGGAUAACAUUUUGAACCGCAUGGUUCGAAAUUGAAAGGCGGCUUCGGCUGUCACUUAUGGAUGGACCCGCGUCGCAUUAGCUAGUUGGUGAGGUAACGGCUCACCAAGGCAACGAUGCGUAGCCGAGCUGGGAGGGUGAUCGGGCACACUGGGACUGAGACACGGCCCAGACUCCGACGGGAGGCAGCAGUGGGGGAUCGUCCGCAAUGGACGAAAGUCUGACGGAGCAACGGCGCGUGAGUGAUGAAGGCUUUCGGGUCGUAAAACUCUGUUGUUAGGGAAGAACAAGUGCUAGUUGAAUAAGCUGGCACCUUGACGGUACCUAACCAGAAAGCCACGGCUAACUACGUGCCAGCCGCCGCAGUAA